rnacentral:snRNA from 1 species
AUACCUACCUGGUGCCGGGGACUCGUUGAUCACAGAGGACGAGGCUCCAGGGCGAGGCGCGGGCAUUGCGCUGCGCUCGCAUUGACCCCUGCCACUAUCUCAAACUGGGGCAGAUUGGGCAUGCAAAUUGCUGAUAUC